UAGGGAAUCUUCCGCAAUGGACGAAAGUCUGACAGAGCAACGCCGCGUGAGUGAGGAAGGUCUUCGGAUCGUAAAACUCUGUUGUCAGGGAAGAACCGCCGGGAUGACCUCCCGGUCUGACGGUACCUGACGAGAAAGCCCCGGCUAACUACGUGCCAGCAGCCGCGGUAAUACGUAGGGGGAAAGCGUUGUCCGGAAUUAUUGGGCGUAAAGCGCGCGCAGGCGGCUUCUUAAGUCAGGUGUGAAAGCCCACGGCUCAACCGUGGAGGGCCAUCUGAAACUGGGGAGCUUGAGUGCAGGAGAGGAGAGCGGAAUUCCACGUGUAGCGGUGAAAUGCGUAGAGAUGUGGAGGAACACCAGUGGCGAAGGCGGCUCUCUGGCCUGUAACUGACGCUGAGGCGCGAAAGCGUGGGGAGCAAACAG
rnacentral:rRNA from 1 species